rnacentral:rRNA from 1 species
AAUGAACGUUGGCGGCGUGGGUUAGGCAUGCAAGUCGAGCGAGAACCCAGCAAUGGGGGACAGCGGCGUAAGGGACAGUAAUGUGUAGAUUAUCUGCCCUCGGGACCGGGAUAGCUGCGGGAAACUGCAGGUAAUACCGGAUAACAUCUCCGGAUCAAAGGUGUGAUUCCGCCCGAGGCUGAGUCUGCAUCCUAUUAGCUAGUUGGCAGGGUAAUGGCCUACCAAGGCUUUGAUGGGUAGCGGGUGUGAGAGCACGACCCGCGUCAUUGGGACUGAGACACUGCCCAGACACCUACGGGUGGCGGCAGUCGAGAAUCUUCGGCAAUGGGCGCAAGCCUGACCGAGCGACGCCGCGUGUGGGAUGAAGGCCUUCGGGUUGUAAACCACUGUUAGAGGGGAUGAAAUGCAGGUGGGUUCUCCCAUCUGUUUGACAUAGCCUCAGAGGAAGGACGGGCUAAGUUCGUGCCAGCCGCCGCCGUAA